UACGUAGGGUCCGAGCGUUGUCCGGAGUUACUGGGCGUAAAGCGUGCGCAGGCGGUUUUGUAAGCCAGAUGUGAAAGCCCCGGGCUCAACCUGGGAAUGGCAUUUGGGGACUGCAAGGCUUGAGUGCGGCAGAGGAGACUGGAAUUCCUGGUGUAGCAGUGAAAUGCGUAGAUAUCAGGAGGAAUACCGAUGCGAAGGCAGGUCUCUGGGCUGACACUGACUCAUGCACAAAGCUGGG
rnacentral:rRNA from 1 species